UGAAUACGAGAUGCUACGGCGUCGAAGCAGUGUAUGUCAGACUUCCAAGAAAAGCUCGCAAUGUCAUAAAUAAAGAAUGCCUGUACCAUAACCGACACAGGUGGGUAGGUAGAGUAUACUAAGGGGCGCGAGAUAACUCUCUCUAAGGAACUCGGCAAAAUAACUCCGUAACUUCGGGAGAAGGAGUGCCUUCUUUAAGAAGGUUGCAAUAACAAGAUCCAAGCAACUGUUUAUCAAAAACACAGGUCUCCGCUAAGUCGUAAGACGAUGUAUGGGGGCUGACGCCUGCCCAGUGCCAGAAGGUUAAAGAAGUUGGUUAGCUUUUGCGAAGCUGAUGACUGAAGCCCUGGUAAACGGCGGCCGUAACUAUAACGGUCCUAAGGUAGCGAAAUUCCUUGUCGGGUAAGUUCCGACCCGCACGAAAGGCGUAAUGAUUUGGAUACUGUCUCGGAGAGGGACUCGGUGAAAUAGACUUGUCUGUGAAGAUGCGGACUACCUGCACCAGGACAGAGAGACCCUAUGAAGCUUUACUGUAACUUGAAAUUGAAAUUGGACUUUAUUUGCGCAGUAUAGGUGGAAGGCGUUGAAAGUAAUCUUGCGGGAUUAGUGGAGCCAUCAGUGAGAUACCACUCCUAUAAUGUUAGAUUUCUAACUUUGGAUCAUGAUCUGGUCAAAGAACAGUUUCAGGCGGGCAGUUUGACUGGGGCGGUCGCCUCCCAAAUGGUAACGGAGGCGUACAAAGGUUUCCUCUGAACGGGUAGAAAUCGUAUCUAGAGUGUAAAGGCAUAAGGAAGCUUGACUGUGAGACCUACAAGUCGAGCAGGGACGAAAGUCGGUCUUAGUGAUCUGACGGUGCUGAGUGGAAAGGCCGUCACUCAACGGAUAAAAGUUACUCUAGGAUAACAGGCUGAUCUCCCCCAAGAGUUCACAUCGACGGGGAGGUUUGGCACCUCGAUGUCGGCUCAUCGCAUCCUGGGGCGGUAGUACGUCCCAAGGGCUGGGCUGUUCGCCCAUGAAAGCGGUACGCGAGCUGGGUUCAGAACGUCGUGAGACAGUUCGGUCCAUAUCCGGUGUAGGCGUUAGAAUAUUGAGAGGAGCCUUCUUUAGUACGAGAGGACCGAGAAGGACAUACCUCUGGUGUACCAGUUAUCGUGCCAACGGUAAACGCUGGGUAGCUAUGUAUGGAGAGGAUAACCGCUGAAAGCAUCUAAGUGGGAAGCCCACCUCAAGAUGAG
rnacentral:rRNA from 1 species